UACGUAGGGUGCAAGCGUUAAUCGGAAUUACUGGGCGUAAAGCGUGCGCAGGCGGUUAUGCAAGACAGAUGUGAAAUCCCCGGGCUCAACCUGGGAACUGCAUUUGUGACUGCAUGGCUAGAGUACGGUAGAGGGGGAUGGAAUUCCGCGUGUAGCAGUGAAAUGCGUAGAUAUGCGGAGGAACACCGAUGGCGAAGGCAAUCCCCUGGACCUGUACUGACGCUCAUGCACGAAAGCGUGGGGAUCAAACAGG
rnacentral:rRNA from 1 species